rnacentral:rRNA from 1 species
UACGUAGGGUGCGAGCGUUGUCCGGAAUUACUGGGCGUAAAGCGCACGUAGGCGGUUUGUUAAGUCAGAGGUGAAAUCCCGGAGCUCAACUCCGGAACUGCCUUUGAUACUGGCAAGCUAGAGUCCGGAAGAGGUAAGUGGAACUCCUAGUGUAGAGGUGGAAUUCGUAGAUAUUAGGAAGAACACCAGUGGCGAAGGCGGCUUACUGGUCCGGAACUGACGCUGAGGUGCGAAAGCGUGGGGAGCGAACAGG